UACGUAGGGGGCAAGCGUUGUCCGGAUUUACUGGGCGUAAAGAGCGUGUAGGCGGCCACGCAGGUCCGUUGUGAAACUGGAGGCUCAACUUCCAGCCGUCGACGGAAACCGUGUGGCUAGAGUCCGGAAGAGGAGAGUGGAAUUCCUGGUGUAGCGGUGAAAUGCGCAGAUAUCAGGAGGAACACCAAUGGCGAAGGCAGCACUCUGGGACGUGACUGACGCUGAGACGCGAAAGCGUGGGGAGCAAACAGG
rnacentral:rRNA from 1 species